rnacentral:ncRNA from 2 species
UGGAAACAUCAAGAGUGUCCGAUGUAACAUCGGACCAGCAACCGAAUAAUACGGUGCCAUUUCCGAGAGGAAGAUGUGGUCCGACGUCACGUCGGACAAAUUAUAAUUUUACC